rnacentral:lncRNA from 1 species
UAUUUCCAACAACUUAACGGGGCAAACAGCGAAAUCGGAUGCUUGGGUAUUCUCGGCAACUAUCUAGCUGUUGAUUGCGCACACGAAACACAAACUCGUGGCACGUCUCGAGACUCCAAAGCCCCAAAGGCAUCUGUGGACAAAAGGAAAUUGAUUCUCUCAAUUCAUUUCAUUUCAUUCUCGCUACGAUACAAAGUAUAGAGAAACUACGUCAAAUAUAUUAGCUUACAGAAAGAAGACAACCUUUGACAUUUUGUAUUUUUUCAGGCAAAAUGACGCACGGCCGUUCGAGGAUGAUUGUUCUGUUGUUAAUUAUUGCGGGAGCGCUGUUCGUCUGGAGUUACUGUCGACAAAUUGAAAAGAUUCAACAGGAACGUUACACUCAAAUCGUCCAUGAAACAGCAAAAUUAACUACAAUCGAAAAGCUAUUACCCCAAAAACUACAUGAGGAUUCCAUACCGAACGUCCAUCAGCAGGAGGUACCGAAGGUCCAUCAGCAGGAGGUACCGACGGUCCAUCAGCAGGAGGUACCGAAGGUCCAUCAGCAGGAGGUACCGAACGUCGAUCAACAGGAUGAAAUGACAACUACGCCGGUGUUUCGAUAGGGGCCGGGCGCCUAUGAGCCAGUGGACAGACUUAAAAAGGGAAAUAUAUUUCACAAAUCAACUUGGAGGCCAGCCACGUCACACUUCCUGGGAAAACACAGUCCGUCCUUCUAGGAACAAGACAAGUCAUUUUUUUUUUUAUAAUUAUAAAUACUCCAACGUGGAAGCUUACGUAUUAGUACGCUCGUUAACCCUACAAUGUUAAACACGAAAGUACAAUUAACGUUUAAAAUAACUCAAAGGAUCCCCGUACCACUGCCGAAAACUGAAACAAGGCUCCGGAGAAAGGUUUUGUUUUGCAUGACGGUAGUUUGGAACAAAGAUGGUAACUUUCAGUAUUGUGGAUUGUAGCUGGCGGCCUAGCAUCUCCAGACUAUCCACGUGUGAUAACAAUAUCCCAGGGUCAUUAAUAUAUUAUUUCCGUAAUAAAAACAUUAACAAGAAUAGUCUUCUACAAAGCCCUUUUUUAUACUCCGCAUGUUGAUUCUAUGAAAUUUGGAUACUGAAAAUAUUCCAUAACAAAUUAUACAACUGUUGAUGGUUAAGGUGGUAUUUUUAAGGGCCCGUUUUAAAGAUUGGGUUGGAGGAUGUGGGUUGAUUAGGGGUAGAAUUACAGCAAUAAUUGUGCUGACAAAAUGGCUCAAAUCACUAAAUAAAUUAGCAUUUUAGCAUAUAUACAUAUGUAUAUGACAUGAAUUUGACACAAAAAAAUAUCAUCUUGAGAUUACCAUAUUGCGUUAUAAGAGUUCCCCUUGUGAAAUUGACUAUCACAAUUUUUACCAAGAAAAAAGGUAAUUUUUCCCUUUAUUACCAAAUAAGAAAUUAGAAAGACUUAAGCGUUUCCGAAAAAAAACUAUUAUAAACGUACCAAAGGUCAUUUUGCUGGAAUUUGUCCCAUUAAUUCUUUUAAUAAAUUAUACGACAAAAGCAGCCGAGAGAUUCAUGCAUUCUUUUCGUGUUGAAUGAUAUAUUUCCUUUAAAAAAUAUUAUAUUUUGCAUUUACUAAGCAAAGUAAUCACCUUUUUGUUGUUAAAGAAUUAUAAUUCAUAAAUAGACCUUAAUAAAUUGUAGUUCAGCCCGACUGAUAAACUGUGAAUUGCCUUUAUACUGAACUUUAGGGAAUCAAAUACAACUUUGAUAUAUAAUAACAAUGAAUAUUUUAUUAACGUGUCACACAUUUCAAUAUAGGCCUGUAUCAUAAAAUACUUUUUACUAUGUUUAAGAACUAUGUAUAAGUACUUAAAUUAAUGAGAUAAAUUCUCGGAAACGGAUUUAUAUAAGUUAUUUCAACUUGUUUCCGGAUCCCAUUCCUCUGUACUUUGUAUGUUAUGUGAUGUAAUGGAACCUAAUUUGGAAUGAAAUAAAGUUUAUAUCAAGUACUGUCCGGCCAGUGCUGACCUAUGAGACACCACAAUCACAAUACUACGUAAUACAUGUAUUGCAAUUAUAUACAACAUAACAUUUAAACUAUAAGCAGAUCAAGAUAUUUCUAGAUUAAAUUAACUCAUUUCAACAAUAUCACAGAGUGUACUUAUAAUCAUUAUGCAUUAAGUUUGUGUACAGUAUUGUGGAGGCCCGUUUUACGUGUAAUUCAGAAAGGCGGAAAAAGUAGACAUUUCACCGCGUCAUAUGCCCAUUUAUAUUUUCAACUUUUGCGGGAUAAAAACAAGGGAUUCAGUUGAUCUAAAAGAGUAAUAGAGUACAAAUAUAUUGUACAAUUUCCCACUUAAUGACAGAUUAUAUUUUACAUUAUUGAGCAUUAUAAACUUGUACAACGACAAUCAUCUUGCUACAAUCAAAAUUGCAACACGAUAUCAGUAAUUAAUGUAGUGUCGAAAAGGGGGAAAGUUUGACGGAGCGUGGGGAGUCGAAUUGGUCAUACAAAUAUGGUUAAAAAGGUUCUGCAAAUAUUGGGUAUCUAGCUUUUUGAUAAGAUCUUCAGAUGCAUAAUUGCUUUUAAAAUUGACCAUAAUUUGUUAAAUCAAAUAAAAUCCUGUUUCACUAGAUCAAAGACGAGAUUUGAACGUGACUUAAACCUCAUAACAGCAUAUCCUUAAUUGUGCAUGUACAUUAUGUCUUUUUCAUAAUUUUAUAUCAAUUAUGAUACGUGCUACAGAAAUAGAAUGUAAUUUGCCAAUUUAUUAUCAUUUUACCCUUUCACUCCUAUAUAACUUUAGUAGACUCUACCAUGCAUUGAUCUGGAUGAGUCCAUUUUGACCUACAGUGGUGAAAGGUAGUACUGAAGUCAAAAUAAUGAAUAGUUAAUGUUUAAAGUAUUCCGAAUCAUAUGAAAAAGUACCGAUAAAACAAUGAUUCACCUGACAUAUUUACAAUUUUUGACGUCGUCAGAUAUUUUAUCCUUAAACUUUUGAUUGUAAAUAAGGUUAUUCCCGAAAAUAUCCUAUCUUUUCAUAGCAUCCUUUUAUUUGUUCAAUUAUGUCCACAUUGCUUGUUAAAUGUACAAUGUAUGAAAGUGAU